rnacentral:rRNA from 1 species
GACGAACGCUGGCGGCGUGCUUAACACAUGCAAGUCGAACGGAAAGGCCCCUUUGGUGGUACUCGAGUGGCGAACGGGUGAGUAACACGUGAGUAACCUGCCCUUGACUUCGGGAUAACUUCAGGAAACUGGGGCUAAUACCGGAUAGGAAUCCUUGCUGCAUGGUGGGGGUUGGAAAGCUUCGGCGGUUUUGGAUGGACUCGCUGCUUAUCAGCUUGUUGGUGGGGUAGUGGCUUACCAAGGCUUUGUCGGGUAGCCGGCCUGAGAGGGCGACCGGCCACAUUGGGACUGAGAUACGGCACAGACUCCUACGGGAGGCAGCAGUGGGGAAUAUUGCACAAUGGGCGGAAGCCUGAUGCAGCAACGCCGCGUGCGGGAUGACGGCCUUCGGGUUGUAAACCGAUUUCAGCAGGGGCGAAGCUUGUGGUGACGGUACCUGCAGAAGAAGCACCGGCUAACUACGUG